GCAUCGACUAGAAAGCAAGUCAGAAAAAUCUGAAUGAUCAAUUGAUCGUGUCAUGAAGGUAUACGUGGGUUAGGCUUACAUCACAAUAAUGAUAUAAUGAUUAUAGAUUAUCUAGUUGAGCGAUGCCACGGACCGUAUUCCAUUCCCGGCCAUAUUAACCAAUGCUAGACGGGCAAAGAAUAUGUAUGUCGCGUGAUUUACCGCAAUAACCUUGACACUGACAGCGACUAACCUGAGUACGGUUAAACUUGUUCCCGUUCGAAUGUACAGAGCUUCUAAUGCACUGAAUUUAGGCGGUAGAUGUAAAACACAAGGAUAUAUAUUUGAAAGGAAACUAUAUCGUUUAACACAUUCAGCAACGUAGAAGCACCCCCGCCGUACGGAGCUUUAAUGUGCCCCGAGAUCCGCCAAAAACCGCCAUCUUGCUUAGUGACGUCAAGCACACAAGUCGGGGGAAAAAGCAGAUAACAGAAUUUCUUCUGAAGACCCUUAAGAAGAAACUCGCGUGUUCAAAAGUGCAACGCGUUAAACACAGUCCGUUGUCACUGGAAAAAAAAAAUGUCGGAAAUCACCUUGAAGUAAAGUACUUGGAUACACUAUGCCACUAGUAGCCCACUACGAGUUGCGUGGAACACGUUCCGCCAGUGUUCAUUACUCAAGGUCGUCCUUCCGAUGUCCCUAACCAAGAAGUGGAAAAGCAACGAGAGUGAAGGAAAAAAAUGACGGUCCAGAAAAAAAGUGAAAAUUAUCUAAGAAACACUCACCUAAUUCCAUUGGAUACAACCAGCUGUUGAUGUCGAGGAUCAGGUCCAUCUUGAAGGACUCGGACUCGCAAUGGAGUCUGCUCACUGCAACCCAUCAUC